UACAGAGGGUGCGAGCGUUAAUCGGAAUUACUGGGCGUAAAGGGCACGUAGGCGGUAAGUUAAGUUAGAUGUGAAAUGCCUGGGCUUAAACCUAGGAAUUGCAUCUAAAACUGGUUUACUUGAGUAUGGUAGAGGAUAGUGGGAAUUUCCGGUGUAGCGGUGAAAUGACGUAGAUAUCGGAAGGAACACCAGUGGCGAAGGCGACUGAUCUGGCCAAUACUGACGCUGAAGUGCGAAAGCGAUGGGGAGCAAACAGGGGAUUAAGAAACCCC
rnacentral:rRNA from 1 species